ensembl:lncRNA
UAGAGAAUGGCCACCCCGUGCCCUCUGGGCUCCUCUUUCCAAAUGCAGAUACCUCCCACCACCCCACCCCCACCCCCAUCCCCCUUCGGAGAGUGGACAGUCGUUCAGGCUUUAACCCUUUGGAGGAGCAAGAAAGGGAAAGCCAGAGCCCCCAGGCGACAAGGAAGGUGGGAGCCACUUCCCCCGCUGCCCACACCCGCCUCACCCACGCCCACGGCUGCGGUCAACAGAACACGAGGUGGGGUUGGAAAGCCCCGGGUUUCACCGGGCCUAACCGCCCACUUCUUUGCAAACGCGGCACGGUAAGAGCCGCUCUGCCUCGAGGUUCCCCGAUAUGGCCCUUCGUUUGGAUACUGGAACUCCCUUUCCAGCCAGAGCCCCGAGGCCGAGAAUCAGCCGCAGGAGGUGCGCUCCCUCAUCCCCACUACACACGCUGCAGCCACAGACCGCAGAAAUCCAGGGGACUGUUCAGCUGCACCUUCAUCUUAAGCAACAUGUGUGCAUUGAUGGAGCUUACCUGGUGCCAAGAGAGUGGUGAAAGGCAUGGAAAUAAGGUUUCCAGUGGAAAGAAUCUCGUCGACCAGCUUGGGACACAUCCUACUCUAACUAAGGGGACAGGUUUUAAAAUUGAAACAUGGUUUCAGGAGGCUUACCCUAUGAAUAGUGUUGGGGGACCACUACCAGGAACAGGUGUCUGCUAUUGAGUGAUGCUGGGCUUCCCUGGUGGCGCAGUGGUAGAAGACCCACCUGCCAAUGCAGGAGACUCGAGUUCAAUCCCCUGGAGAAGGAAAUGGCACCCCACUGCUGUAUUCUUGCCUGGGAAAUCCCAUGGACAGAGCAGCCUGUCUCUGUCCAAGAGGGCUACAGUCCAAGGGUUGGCAAAGACUCGGACAUGACUUAGUGACUAAAUAACAACAACAUAGAGUGAUGCUAUGACCUUUCAUUGGAAGCAUGCUUCUGUAAGAGUUGAGCAUGAGCACACUAUUGUUGAAUGAACGGAUAACUAGGAAGCUUUAAGGCAACCUCGUUAGAGCCCGUACUCUUGUCCCUUUCCCAAACUCCUUCAGUCUCCCAGUUCUAUAAAAACCUGCAAAUGAAGGAAGCAGGAUACACAGUGGUUAUUAGCAUACGUCUGGGUUAAAUUGUCUUAUUUUGGAUCCUGUCCUGGAGGACUUGAGCAAGUGAUGGAACCUACCUGAGCUGCAGGUUUCUCACCUCUAGAAUGGGG